rnacentral:rRNA from 1 species
CCUANGGGAGGCAGCAGUGGGGAAUUGUUCGCAAUGGGCGCAAGCCUGACGACGCAACGCCGCGUGGAGGAUGAAGAUCUUCGGGUCGUAAACUCCUUUCGAUCGAGACGAAUGGCCCUCGAGUGAAUAGCUUGAGGGAGUGACGGUACCGAGAGAAGAAGCCCCGGCUAACUCCGUGCCAGCAGCCGCGGUAAUACGGGGGGGGCAAGCGUUGUUCGGAAUUACUGGGCGUAAAGGGCUCGUAGGUGGCCAACUAAGUCAUACGUGAAAUCCCUCGGCUUAACCGGGGAACUGCGUCUGAUACUGGAUGGCUUGAGUUUGGGAGAGGGAUGCGGAAUUCCAGGUGUAGCGGUGAAAUGCGUAGAUAUCUGGAGGAACACCGGUGGCGAAGGCGGCAUCCUGGACCAAUACUGACGCUGAGGAGCGAAAGCUAGGGGAGCAAACGGGAUUAGAUACCCCUNUANUC